CUUCCUUUGAUCAUGACAGCCAAAAAUACUACAUGAGUGAAAAUGUGUCUUAAUCCAAUGAUUAAAAAAAGAAUCACCGUGACGUCAGAGCACAGAGGAAGCGGCUAUUUCUACACUCAGUGCUCAGAACAGUGGGCACUAAGAAUGGUUUGUAGCUGGACAGUA
ensembl:snoRNA